rnacentral:rRNA from 1 species
UACAGAGGCCCCAAGCGUUAGGCGGAAUCACUGGGCUUAAAGCGUGUGUAGGUGGAUGCCUAAGUACCUUGUGAAAUCCCACGGCUUAACCAUGGAAUUGCUUGGUAUACUGGGUGUCUUGAGCCACUCAGGGGCUACCGGAACAAACGGUGGAGCGGUGAAAUGCGUAGAGAUCGUUUGGAACGCCAAUGGUGAAAACAGGUAGCUGGGGGUGUGCUGACACUGAGACACGAAAGCCAGGGGAGCAAACGGG